rnacentral:lncRNA from 1 species
GAAAAAAUACUCUAGUUGCGAGCAAAACGACACCGUAAAAGUCAAGUGUGCCCACCUAAUGAAAACGUACACACCUAACUCAUUCAUUUCGUCCGACGUGUCACUACGGUCAUGCAAUCACUCCGACUUUACCAAGAAAACUAUCCACCAGAUCUUUCUCUCUCUCUCUCUCUCUCUCUCUCUCUCCACCAAUCGCCUGAGAAAGCUGCUGGCCGUUACUCGCCAAAACCUGUCUUUCUUCUCUCCAGGUCAGUCCUCUUGAUCCAAACCCACCUCCCCUUUUUCUUACAUCGUCGGUUCUUUAAUCUGUGAUGAUGUGAUAUUUGGGGGUCAUUUUCUUUGGAGUGUCUUAUAAAUGGUUGUUUGGCACAUUCGAAUAAUCCAAAAGCGAAUAAGCUUUUCAGGCACCCACAAUAGUUCUUCAAUCCCCCCUCUACUUGUGCGGGUUGCUUCUAAAUUUGAAACACCCUCUGGUUUUUUGAGAUCCGAUUCUUGAUAAAAUUUUCCUAUUCCGUCUCUUUUGUUUGAAUUUGUUUGUGGCUUCUUGGGUUGGGUUUGCUUUUGAUUUUUCAAUUCAAUUUGUCGCUGUCUCAUUACGUGUUAUUGUCAAUUGUUUGUGUAGGGAAAUUAUUGUGGGUUGUUGAAUUGUGAGUCCUUAUUGUCAAUUGUUUGUGGAUGGCAAUUAAUUUGGCUUCUCAUUUGUUGGGUUUUUGAUCUUAUUGUUCCUGGAUUUGGAUUUGAUCUAUCUGAGUAAUUAGCAAAACCCAUGAGCUAAAAGGCUAUGAUUUCGUCAGGCCAUUAAUUUAUGAUGUGGGUUUGAGGUUUUUGUGUUUUGGGUGGUUGGAGAAAUUUUGAUUUCUUGGAGAAUGUACACUUUGGGUGCUUGAAUUUGUGGUCAUUUGUUGGGUUUAUGAUAUUGUUGUUCCUGGAUUUGGAUUUGAUCUAUCUGAGUAAUUAGAAAAACCCAUAAGCUAAAAGAGGCUUUAAUUUCAUCGGGUGAUUAAUUGAUGAUGUGGGUUUGAGGUUUUUGUGAUUUGGGUAGUUGGAGAAACUUUGAUUUAUUGGAGGAUGUACACUGUGGGGAGGCUUGGAAGUUCAAAACCCAGGGG